UUUUUUCCCGUGGGUUUUUGAUGCAGUAGUCAUAUGCUGUGUCCGGGGUCUUAGAUUAGGCCAUGCAUGUCUAAGUACAUGCCGUAUUAAGGCGAAACCGCGAAUGGCUCAUUAAAUCAGUCAUGGUUCCUUGGAUCGUACCUUACUACUUGGAUAACUGUGGCAAUUCUAGAGCUAAUACAUGCAGCAGAGCUCCGACCUUCGGGGACGAGCGCUUUUAUUAGACCAAAACCAAUCGGACCUCGUGUCCGUCUCUUGUGGUGACUCUGUAUAACUUUGGGCUGAUCGCACGGGCCUGUCCCGGCGACGUAUCUUUCAAGUGUCUGCCUUAUCAACUUUCGAUGGUAGGUUACGCGCCUACCAUGGUCGUAACGGGUAACGGGGAAUCAGGGUUCGAUUCCGGAGAGGGAGCCUGAGAAACGGCUACCACAUCCAAGGAAGGCAGCAGGCGCGCAAAUUACCCACUCCCAGAACGGGGAGGUAGUGACGAAAAAUAACAAUACGGGACUCUUUUGAGACCCCGUAAUUGGAAUGAGUACACUCUAAAUCCUUUAACGAGGAUCCAUUGGAGGGUAAGUCUGGUGCCAGCAACCGCGGUAAUUCCAGCUCCAAUAGCGUAUAUUAAAGUUGUUGCGGUUAAAAAGCUCGUAGUUGGAUCUCAGUUCCAGACGGGUGGUCCUCCUACCGGUGGUUACUGCCUGUUCUGAACAGUCAGCCGGUUUCUCUUGAUGAUCUUCACCGGUUGUCUUGGGUGACCGGCAAGUUUACUUUGAAAAAAUUAGAGUGCUCAAAGCAGGCGUGACGCCUGAAUAAUGGUGCAUGGAAUAAUGGAAUAGGACCUCGGUUCUAUUUUGUUGGUUUUCGGAACACGAGGUAAUGAUUAAGAGGGACAGACGGGGGCAUUCGUAUUGCGACGCUAGAGGUGAAAUUCUUGGACCGUCGCAAGACGAACUACUGCGAGA
rnacentral:rRNA from 1 species